UCUGACCGCCUCGAAGCUACA
rnacentral:siRNA from 1 species